GCAAGUCGAGCGAGAAGCUACCUUCGGGUAGUGGAGAGCGGCGAACGGGUGAGUAACGCGUGGGAAUUUACCUUAGAGUGGGGAAUAACAGUUGGAAACGACUGCUAAUACCGCAUACGCCCUUCGGGGGAAAGGCUUCGGCCGCUCUUAGAUAAGCCCGCGUUAGAUUAGCUAGUUGGUGGGGUAAUGGCUCACCAAGGCUACGAUCUAUAGCUGGUUUGAGAGGAUGAGC
rnacentral:rRNA from 1 species